GUUAAUGGAUACGUGACUAACGUCACGUCAGCUGGAAACUGCAGUUUGUUCCUUUUAACUUCGUCGUGUUCGACGUCACAUUUGAAAUCCUUGCAUUGAUUGCAUUCAACUUGUACAUGUUAGUAUUACUCUUUAGCUUAAAUCGUUCAAGUCAAAUGUCAUGUUUCGUUGGCUGAACUAGCAAGCUAACGAAGCUUUGAAGCUAUCGACGUUAACUUUACCUCGCUUGCUCGUGACAACCGUUGAGCUUCGUCAGCUUAAUGUUAACACGACUUUAGCUGUGGAGCUAAUGUCAGACAUCACCGGAGUUGGGUCUGACAUUCGCUCCACAGCUAAAGAAACAUUCAUUUUAUUGCCUGCAUCGAGGAUAUUGCAUUGUAACAGCUCCAGGAUGUUGUGUGAAGUCGUGCUGUCGUCGGUAUGGCUCCUGUUCGUUAUCUUCUGGGUAGAGACAAUAAGCGUUUGGCUCUUUUUGUCAAUGUUCUACCAGGACCGGGCAUUUUACCACUGGGGAGAUGGGUAAGACUAUUUGGUGUACGUUUAUAUAUUCAUAGUUGGUUUAAAACAAAUGCUCACUCUCUAUACUAAAGAUGAUACAGGCCUUUCUAUCAAGCCACACAACCAAAAAGAUUUUUAUGUAGAUCUCUCACUUUUUUCCCCCUGCAAACACAUAACUUCAACUUUGAAGUAGAGCGAGAGAAGAAAAGUAAGUGACAUGAAUUGAAAGUUGAAAUUGUCUCCAAUUCCUUGAUAGCAGUCUUCAUGAACGGAUGGAUGAUGAAACACUUAAAGCAUAAUGGACAGUGGUGUGAGUACAGGCUUCAUUGGGAAAUUAAAACUAUGUUUUAACAGAACCUUUUGUUUUAUGUUAAAGGAUUUUUGCAGGUGACCCUAGAGAGAUGAUAUACAUGUUGAACAGAGUUGAUAACCACAUACAGACAGAGAUGCAGACCUGAGCUGGAACAAGAUGAAGAACUCCACUUAAGGGACACAAGAGAGGCUUUGGCAUUGACUGACAAAAAAAAUUAUGGAGAGCAGUAGCUGUUUUUUCUUUGGAGUGACUUCCUUGCACGCUGUGAUGCACAGUCAACAUCAUUACAUGUAGCACCCCUUUUAAUAACAAGUGGUGUAGAGCUGCAGCAUGAGUGAAUGUAAUGUGAGGUCCUCAGUGGUUGACAUUUCUAUUUUCACUUCAAGAUUAUGUAAAAGCAGAAUGAAUGUAGCAGAAAGUGUUUAGUUCGUUUGUUGUGGGUUUUCCACUCCAUUUUUAGAAAAUAGUGUUUCGUUAAUACUACCGUUCUAUGCAACUACAGUUGUUACUGUAUGCUUUAAGUUGUGGCCUUUAUCUGCAGAUGGAUUUUGCUCAGUUCAUAUGUCUCUAUUCUGAUAUAACACUGCUUAUUACGUGAAUGAAAUUCCAUAGGGAGGACACGUAACUCAGCCACCUCACUAGCAACUACAAAAGCUAAUUGAAAGCCCUAAAAUUAGAUAUUGUGUUACAAUUUUUACCCUGAAAUGAGCAACAUGUUCUGUAUACAUAUUAUUUCAAAUGCAGUAUGCCAAAAAUAUCCAGAUGUUUGACUGCUUUAGGUCACAUUUCACAAUAUGCAAACCAGCAUAUUGAGCAAGUAAAAGGAAGAGGGUCCGGGUUCAUUGUUAUGAUGGAGUCUGUGCCACUUGAAUGUAUAGUUUGUAAGGGCAGCUGCAGCAUUUACUUAAAGUAAAAAGAAAAGUGUGAUUUGGAGCACAAUCCUGAUGUUACAUUAGGCCUAUGUCUCCGAAGACAAUCAUAAUAGUGGGUUAGAGUAUGUUCCAUUUUAGGAAUCCAAUCUUUGUGCAAUAUGUCAGUGCUAUAUCUAGCAAAUGAAAUAAAAGUGAUAUUUUAGUUUAAAUACACAACUCUUUUCAAGCCCGUACAAAAUCAGCCAAUAAGUAGUGUUAACAACCGGUAGACAAACAUUGUCAAUAUUGUUUUGUAAAAAAAUGCUGAAUAAAUUUAUUUUUGAGUGCAAUUA
ensembl:lncRNA